GUUGAAAGUUGGCUUACUUGGUAUGUGGGUUUAUCUUUUGAAUGGUCUGAUAGAGACGUAAACAAAGACGGAGGCAUUUGAUUCUUCCUUAGUGUCUUCGGAGGUGGAAGUUGGUUUCUUGGCUGCUUAUCACCUAAGCAGUUCUUAUGUUAGGCCAAUGGUGUAUAUAAAUCAGGGACCCUAAAUCACAGCCAUGAUUAGUG
rnacentral:misc_RNA from 1 species